UUUUUUUUUUCCUUCUUUUUUUAAUGGCCUGCAGCUGAUGGAGCCCCCUCUCAGAUAACACUGUUUUCAGCCAUCGGUUGUUGCUGUGUUCCCCCACCCAAAGGAUGAGCAACACUGGCAUUUUUCCUGUUAUCCCACCAAGUUGUGUUACCAUUUUCCAAUUGUGUGCCAAAUUAAAAUGACAAUUCCGUAAAUAAAACUCUGAAAUAUUGGACUGUGAGGGUGUUUUCCUGUAUAUUUUCUUUCUGUUGGUUGUUUCUUGUUUCUUUGUGCACCAGAUUCUUUUCCUGGUAAUAUGUCGGACAGCUUCAGCUGUGCUAUGUCCAUCCUGUGUGCAUGGCUCUCUGCCUGAGGGAUUAUCCUUGUUGACGGGUUCAGCCAUGUUAUGGUGAGUAUAGAGAUCUCCAAGGCUUUUGUUUUCAUGUGUUUUAUUCUGAAACUUGGUGGAUUUAUUGGAUGGAAAAGAUAACGGAAAUUUCCCAUGUUCCUUGGAUCUGAAGAUUUCCUUCCAACUUCAUCUCAAAGACUUCCGAACCAUCUUUAUUCAUUCUGCCUGUCUCUUGUUUCUGUGACUUUGGUUUCCUGCCAAACUCUACCAUUAGUAGCCCUGUUUCUGAUCAUGCACCAUUCUUCGUAAAUGAAACCAUGCAAUAAGUUAGAAGAUCUUCAGAGAGGUGCUUGUCACCCCUGCCAGUAUGUGCAAGAAAGGAUGCAGAAUGAUGACAUGUAUCAUCCAGGCAACACUGGUCUUCACUCUCUUUACUACUUUUCAUCUUUUUAAGAUCCAAAAUUUACAGGCAGCACCUGUGCCAGCUCAGUCCUGGUAGCACUCACAAAAGCCAUGCUUUAGCAUUCCAAAAAUCCUGCCCCGGCACUAGCACCAAUUACACAUACUACUAAAUGGUUUCAGACUCCAAGGCAGAGGUGCUACAAGUGGACUGCUGGCUGAGAAGUGUCCUGGGGUCACACAGGCUAGCAAACUGUGAAUGGGCUCUUGAGCAUUUUGGGGAAAGAACAACCCAUAACUUCCCAUCCUGCAAACUGGGAGGUGGGCAUGGGUGUAGGGGGAUGGAGACUUUCAUCUGUCGGUGUCACUAGUGUUCUCCCACGCGCAUUUGAUGGCACAGUCUCAGCAGCAGCCUGCACAGCCCAAGCAGCAGCCUUGUCUAAGGAAGCCACCGCAUGUUUCUAGUUGCUGUUCUGUGUGACUGAUUGCUGGACUAGCUGAUUCCCAUGGCUGCUUUGUGAGUUGUGCUGCACUGUUUUUUCAAGUAGAUUGACUGAUGGGGAGAAAUAAAAACUGCUCUUUGCUGUGGCUUCUGUUAAGCCACCAUGUGAAGGG